UAGAAUCCAAGCAUCAGCCUCCUUGUAAGCACAACAAUGUAGAUGAAAGACAGAAAAACUCUGAUGAAUGUUUUCUUUCCUAUGUAAUAAUCCGAUACACCAUGAACGUGAGAAACAAACGUUUCUUAAAGACACUGACUAAAACAGUGGAGGUUUGAUAGCAAGGCCAUGAACAAAACAACAGCGAGUUGUUUUAUAGCACACACCUUAACUAAUUAUCUUUUCAGAGAGCAGGGAAGCUUGCCAAAUCUGUGUUGAUUACCCCAGCAUCUUCAGCUCAUGAAUACGUAACCAGUCGUCUCAACUUGCAGCGAAGUCACAGACCACGAGUCUAAUACAUUUGGCACUUUGUGACCUGGUAAAUUGCGAAAUAAUCCAUCACUGCCUUGAGUAUUUAAUAACAUAUACAGCAGGAUGAUCGAUGGUUCAGUUCAGAUUAAAAUUAUUUACUUACCCUCUGCAUAAUGGUUGAUUGUCUUGUUCUAUAAGCAGGGAAACUUGGGGUUCAAGUUCCAGGCUUCCAACCCAUCGGUGGUUUCUUGGCAUACAGGGAAACUUGUGUUCCAAGUUCUAGGCUUCCAACCAAUCGGUGGUUUUCUGAAUUUAGUAUCUCAUUGGCAUGCUGCAAACUGAUGUAGUGUCAUAUGUCAACAGAUUUUAAUUAAAAAAAAUGUCUGGAUGGAAGUUUCAGGGACACUUCCCUGAAACCUCCAAACUCAGUAUUAAUUUAUCCAUGUGGUAUACCAUCAGAAUGGGACUUCUCAGCUAUAUAACAUCAUUGAACGCUGGAGCGCCUCCUAUUUCUGUGCAUCCAUUUGUUCAAGACAUACGAGCUUGUUAAGUUCUAGCUUUACUUGUUGUAGAAUAAGUACCAGAGAAAUGGAGCCGCAGGAAGGAAGGAAAGGGAUACCAUCUCUGCUGUCCUCGCAGGGGGAGUGCAUCGCCACCAACAUCACGCAGGUGCCUACUUUCUCUGUAUAUAGUCAUUAUUCCUUCACUGUACAAAGCUUGUUAUCUUUAAUCUGCAAGUAAAUUCUAUGCCUUCCAGCUCAUUGGUUGGACACCACUGAUAGAACUGAGAAACAUCACUGAGAAAGACGGCAUAGGUGCUCGGCUUAUUGGGAAGAUUGAGCCGUACCAGCCCCUUUCCUCUGUGAAGGAUCGGAGUGCUCUCAGGUGGCUGCUCUUUUUACUCCCUUCCGAGGAAGACAUUCUUCACCUCAAAUGUACCAUACACAACGUCACGAGUUUCGACAACAAUAUGAAUGAAUGAAACUUUUUGCAGAUUGAUCGAAGAUGCAGAGGAGAAAGGCUUGAUCACACCUGGCAUCACAACGCUGCUGGGGGUCACGAGUGGUAAUCUCGGCAUCGGCGUGGCGUUCAUUGCUGCUCAGAAAGGAUACAAGUUCAUCGCCCUCAUGCCUGCUAAACUCUCGCUUGAUAAGCAGAUACUAAUGCGAUUCCUUGGCGUAGAAGUGGUAUUAGUUGGUAAGGACCUGAGGUACCAUGACCCUCAUAUCACGUGCCAGAUGGUAACAUCCUUGUCUCCUGCAGAUGCUGUACAGCAUGGAUUCAAAGCUUUACUCGAUAGGGUAGAACAGAUGAAGAAGGAUGUGGAAGAUGUGUAUGUUCUAGAUCAAUUCACCAACCCUGCAAAUCCCGAUGCCCACUUCAGAUGGACUGGUAAGUGGUAACACAAUCUAUUUGAACUAAAUUGGAUGCAGUAGCAGUAGCGUUUGAGUAACUUUAGAUUGUUUGACUAUAAGGCCCAAAACUCAGUCGAAGACUAUGAACUGACUAACUUAUAAGAUGUUGAAAUAAAUUGAUGGAUGAUAUGCAAUAAAUGUUGCUAUGUGGUGUUGGCCUCUGCAGGAUCACACUUCCAUGCAACGUUCUACUCUUUAUUUGUAUUUUAUUUUAUUUUUGAGAUUCCUGACUAAAAAAAGAACCUCGGCACUAAUGCAUCGAACUAAAUAUGUCCUUAGGACCUGAGAUAUGGAAAGAUACAGCAGGCAAAGUGGACAUAUUUAUAGCUGCUUCAGGUUCAGGCGGCACCAUCACAGGCGUGGGGAGGUAUCUCAAGACGAAGAACCCAUUUGUAAAAUUAAUAUGCGUUGAACCAGCUGAAAGUCCAGUGAUUUCAGGCAAGAAACUACUACUACUAUGAUAAAUAUAUUGAAUAAAUGAUACUCCUGCUAGACAUGCUUGGCUAUGCUCAUCAGUAACCUGGCUACCUUUCUUGGAUUGUAACUCAGUAAGACCUUCCCUGCCUAUGAUCUGUAGGUGGCGAGCCAGCCUUCCACAACAUCCUAGGAAUAGGGCCAGGUUUUGUCCCAGAAAUACUGGAUAGAUCCCAGAUAGAUGAAAUUGUAACAGUAACUACUCAAGAAGCUAUGGACAUGGCUAGAAGGUUGGCAAGGGAAGAAGGGUUGCUUGUUGGCAUAUCUUCAGGCGCAAAUGCAGCCGCCUGCUUAAAGGCAAGCUCUCUUUUUCAACAGUCUAGGAUCUUUUCUCAUUUGCAGAUGCUACAGUGAAUGCUAUAUAAAUCCACUUAUUAUGCAGUCCUCUGAUUCGGGUACUUCCUCAUAGGUUGCAUCAAGAGAGGAGAACAGGGGAAAGAUGAUUGUGACAAUGUUUUCCAGUGGUGCAGAGAGGUAUCUGAAUUCAGAGCUCUUUGCGCAGGUGAAGGAAGAGUGCGUCAACAUCAACAUGACCUUCUGAUGUUCAGGUCGAGGCAAUGACAGCUUAGGGAUGAUCCAGAAGGGUAGUCUUAUCAUAAUACCAGAUACUGUUUAAUAAUUAAGAGAUGAAAGAAAACACGCUAGUGUCAUAAGUACAAACCAUAUGGUUGCAGGUUACAGAGGAUAGCGGUAUAAUACUAUGGUUGAGGAAUCACCUCAAACACACUAUGGUUGAUCCAUCAUGAGCCCUCAUUUGUACUAGCCUUACGCUUGUAUGAAGGAUGACAUGGUGAUAUAGACCAACCCAUUGCAUUCCUCGAAGUGAGUUAAGUUCAGAGCUAGAAUCUCAUGGUCCAUUCGGUAUUAAUUACUAAAACCAAACACCCAUACUUGUCCAUCACCAUACUGUUGAUAUAAAAGAAACAUUUUUUUUGCAGUAUAAAACAAAUCAAAUUUACUGAGACAUCCAGUUAACCUUCUGGUAUUCUGCCCAACAUGCAACGACGAGGGUGACCCUAACUGUCACAUGACCUAGCAUGGUUACAUAGUUCCAACUUCCAUGGCUGGGAUCACUUGAAGCAGGGCCGUCCUCAGAAAUUGGGGGCCCUGCGCGUCUGCAAUUAGGCCCUAAGUAUGGAAAAGGUAGUUGUAGCUGUGUGCAUCGCAAUGAUGCAGAGGCCAGGGAUUAAGCCUCCUUUUCGGGAAAAAGAGAAAAAUUAUUUAUCAUGCUAGUAAUACAAUUUUAUGCAAGAAUUAUAUCUUGCCAAAAGGCAACUCUUCGAACCCUUAAUAAUUACUCCCUCUGUAAACAAAUAUAAGAUGUUUUCAGAGGGAGUACUAAACUAAUUUUUACUUGAAAAGCGGCAUCCUUCUGGCAUUUAAUUACACAGUUUCUUCCACCUAGUUGCUGCAAUUGUCAACUGGGAAUAGAGGAAAUAAUACCAGGCGAGUUCGACGGAUAUCCAUGAAAGAAUAGGGCAACAUUAUUGCUAAUGUGAUUCUCUAAGAGCAACUCCAUCAGGGCCCCUAAACACAGCCCCCAAACAGUUUUGGGGGGCUAAGGCCAAAAAAUCGGCUCCAGCAAGGCCCCUACUGUUUGAAAGGAGGUUAAACCAAAAAUUCAGCUUCGGCAGGACCCCUACUGUUUGAAGGAAGAUGCCGGAUGAGUCCAGGAAUAACAAAAAGCUUUCAUCUCCUGUUUGAAAGGAAUCUCGACUAGUCUUAUGAAGAGAGGAGGAAACCUUGAGUAGUGUGGCCAGGAGACCUGCUGGUCAAGCGAGUACUCCAAAAUGUGUGGAUGCCCCCCCACCCCACCGUGGCCCAUCUUCUUUAUUGACGCGUCAAUGGCGGGCUUACGCCUGCCUGAACAUAUAUUAAUAAUCACCAGCCAAUUAGAAAAGCAGAGUAGAGAUACAAAGAGGGGGGAGGGGGCUACAAGGACAGGGUGAUAAUUAAGCUAAAAUCUCGCAGUGAUACAACAUGGAGCCCGAGUCCCUCUCUAACCAGAGCCCCGUGAGUUCCUCUUCCUUCCAACCAAAAUCCAGCUUCUUCCUGUUCUUUACAACAAUACUGGUAUUUCUGCUGCCCAAAUCUUGCCUAUACAGUGCACAAACCAAUCUGGUGAUGAACUCCAAAUCCUACUGGGACCAAAAAUCCAUGGAUUCCUCUUGCUUUCAACCAAAAUGCUCCAGCUUCUUCCUGUUAUUCACAAUACUGCUGUCUCUGCUGCCCAGAUCUUCUUGCCUACAGUUCACAAACCAAUCUGGUGAUGAACACCAAAUCCUCCUGGGACUCGAGAGAUAUUGGGGGAGAUCACCUGUGCUUGGCAGAUGGACCUCACUUCUUCUAACCACUGUAAAUGGGGAGGAGUUACAUGCAAAGAUGGUUUGGUCACUGCCAUUUCCCUUCCACGGCAAACCUUUAGGAAACCAAUCCCACCGUCCCUUUGCCUCCUCAAGAAUCUUACCUACUUGGACCUCUCCUACAAUAACUUCUCCACUUCAUUCCCUACCAUACUCUACAAUUGCUCCAAUCUGAAGUACCUAGACCUUUCCAACAAUGCCUUUGGUGGGAAACUCGCAGCUGACAUAAACAGUUUAUCAGCAAAGCUCGAGCAUCUCAACUUAUCAAGCAAUCGUAUCAUGGGGGAAAUUCCACCAUCGAUUGGAUGGUUUCCAAAGCUCAAGUCGCUGCUCCUCGACACCAACCAGUUUGACGGAAGUUAUCCAGCAAAGGACAUCAGCAAUCUGGCCAACCUCGAGGUGCUGACACUAGCGGAAAAUCCAUUUCUGCCAGCUCCAUUUCAAGUUGAGCUUGGCAAGUUGACACGCCUCACAUACUUGUGGCUGUCAGGUAUGAACAUGACAGGUGAGAUCCCUGAGAGCCUGUCAAGCCUCACAGAGCUCAGUCUGUUGAGUGUGUCAAAUAAUAUGCUGCAAGGCACAAUUCCGACAUGGGUAUGGCAGCAUAAGAAGCUUCAGUACUUGUACAUGUUUGCCAACAGUUUCACAGGCGAGAUUUCCUCCAGUGUCACCGCCGUAAACUUGGUAGAGCUUGAUGUGUCCUCAAACAAUCUGACAGGGACAAUACCAGAUGACUUUGGUAGGCUCAUCAACCUUACCAUGUUGUUUCUCUACACGAAUCAACUUCAUGGGUCAAUACCGCCAAGCAUUGGGUUGCUGCCGAAUCUCAGCGAUAUACGGCUAUUUGAGAACAUGUUAUCUGGUUCCCUUCCACCAGAGCUUGGUAAGCACUCACCACUAGGUAAUCUUGAGGUCUGCAACAAUAACCUCUCGGGCGAGCUGCCAGCUGAUCUUUGCUCCAACAGGAAGUUAUAUGACAUCGUUGUGUUCAAUAAUAACUUUUAUGGAAAGCUUCCACAAUCGCUAGACGGCUGCUACCGGUUGAACAAUUUAAUGCUGUACAACAAUCAUUUUACUGGAGAGUUCCCCAAGAGCAUCUGGUCAGUGGUGACAAAUGAGCUAACGACAGUUAUGAUCCAAAACAACAAUUUCUCUGGGACCUUUCCUACCCAGCUUCCAUGGAACUUUACACGUCUUGAGAUGAGCAAUAAUAGAUUCUCUGGUCCCAUUCCGACUUUAGCAGGCAAAAUCGAAGUAUUCAGGGCAGCAAACAACUCUCUUUGUGGCGAAAUUCCCUGGAAUUUGAUGGGUAUUUCACAGGUAACAGAACUUGACCUUUCUGGAAAUCAAAUUACUGGAUCAAUACCCAUGACAAUUGGAGUGCUAAAGCUCAAUGCACUUAAUCUAAGUGGAAAUCAGAUAUCUGGUACUAUACCUGCAGCGUUUGGAUUUACGUCAGGGCUAACCAUCCUUGACCUCUCCUCGAAUGCGCUAUCUGGCGAGAUCCCAAAAGCGAUCAAUAAGUUGAAACUGAACUUUCUAAACCUCUCCAUGAAUCAACUCACGGGGGAAAUUCCAACAUCAUUGCAAAACGAAGCAUAUGAGCGAAGCUUCCUCUUCAAUCCAGGCCUCUGUGUCUCAUCGAAUAAUUCCAUCCCUAAUUUCCCGAUUUGCAGUGCAAGAGCAAAUAACAACAAUGAUAUCUCCAGGAGGCUUAUAGCCCUCUUUCUUGUUCUUGCCAGUAUCAUGCUUGUGGGUUCGGCAGUUGGUGGUUUCUUGCUAUUAAAGAGGCAAAAGAAUACCCAAGAUCCUCUAUCAUGGAAGCUGACCCAGUUCCAUGCACUGCAUUUCACAGAGUAUGAUGUUCUUUCUGGGCUCUGUGAGCAGAACUGGAUUGGAAGUGGCAGGUCUGGCAAGGUGUACCGAAUUAGUGUUGUGGAUGGAGAAGGUGGUAGUAGAAUGGUGGCUGUUAAAAAGAUAUGGAACGCCCAGAACCUUGACAGCAAGCUCGAGAAGGACUUCCUUGCAGAGGUCCAGAUAUUGGGUGAGAUCCGGCACAUAAACAUUGUCAAGCUGCUCUGCUGCAUCUCAAGCUCAGAGGCAAAGCUUCUUGUCUAUGAGUACAUGGAAAAUGGUAGCUUAGACAGGUGGCUCCAUCAGAGGGAUAGAGUUGGUUCACUGGCACCUUUGGAUUGGCCCACCAGAUUGCAAAUUGCCAUCGACUCGGCAAGAGGUCUCUGCUAUAUGCACCAUGAUAGUUCACCCGCCAUAGUGCACUGUGAUGUUGGUAGAAUCAAGUACUCUACCAGGUCUAGGGCGUAGGUGGUAAGGGAAGGAUGGAGGGGGACGUGGCGAGGAACGGGCGCGCCGGCGGCAGGGCGCCGUCGCGAGCUAGGAGAAGGGUGGCGGCGGUUAGGGCUGUUGGCGGCUAGGGUUUCCGGCUCCUCAGGGAGCCGGACAAUAGGAGAUAAUAUUCUUCUUAUUGCCUGAUCUGAAAAGAGUCUUACAAUUUAUAUUUAUAACCUAGAUAACUUGCACACGAAUUAACCUAAGAUAACCUGUGGGCUAAGAUUGCCCGAUGGGCCUUCCAUAUGACAGGCCGGACAUAACACUUCUCCCCGUCUGCACAAACAGCUCGUCCUCGAGUUGUAAGGUGGGGAAGCGCUUGCUUGAACUCCUCGAGGUAAUCAACCAGCGUCAAACACCUUCUCAACAUCUGGGGCGGCCAGGUCGGCGGCGACGGCGUCCUCCGGAAUGUAGUCUGCCACCUCCAGGUAGAAGAGUCGCGGGCAGGCGUGGCCGGGCUUGUAGGGUUCGUUGCAGUUGAAGCACAACCCUUGGCGGCGACGCUCGAUAUCUCAGCUGGGAUGAGCCGGCGGAACGGGCGCCCCGCGGUCGCGGCGAGGGGUGCCGCAGAAGCCUGCACAGGCCGACCCUGCGCGGAAUCCGGUCCGGGUAGCGACCCGGCAGUCUGGGACGGUGAUUCCGGCUGGAUGGCCACCGCGCGGCGCUCGAACGCGCGGGCGUAAUACAUGGCCGACUGGAGAUCCUGGGUGGUCCGGCAGACCGCCCACAAAUAACUCGGCGCGCUGGGUUGCGGAGACGCCCGGCGCGUGGCACGCCAGGGCCUGGAAGCGGUCGGCGUAGUCCUGCACCGUGGAUGUGAAAGAUAAGCGGCCGAGGGCCGCCAAUCGGCUCCCGCGGAUAGGAGGCCCGAACCGGAGGAGACAGAGCUCCCGGAAGCGCUCCCAUGGUGGCAUGCCGCCCUCGUCCUGCUCGAGGGCGUAGUACUAGGUCUGCGCCGCGCCUCGGAGAUGAUAGGACGCGAGCCAGGUACGAUCCGAAGCGAGCGUCCGCUGCCCUCGAAAGAACUGCUCGCACUGGUUGAGCCAGUUGAGGGGGUCCUCCGUGCCCUCGUAAGUGGCGAAGUCCAGUUUGGCGAAUCAAGGGGGUGUUGGCCCACCGUGCCCGGGGGCGGCCGCAGUCGCCGCCAGCGCGUAUGCUGGGUCGGGAAGCGCUGGGGCGUAGUUCGCCGAGCUGGAGGGGUGAUCAAACCGCAGAGAGGGCGUCGGGUGUUCCGGCGCCGUGGAGUAGACCGGGCCCGGAGACGAGCCGGUCGCCCAAGCGGGGAUCGGCGAUGGUGACGGUGGAAACUGCACCUGGUGCAGGGGCCGACCCGUAGCCCUAGGCGCGGGUGGUGGUAAUGUCGAUGGCGGCGGCGCCUGGUGGAUCUGCUGCACCGGCGCCUGCGGCGUGGGGGCCGGCGGUGACGCCGGAAGAAGCUGCUGGGUCUGGCCCCCCAGCGGUGCGGUGGAGGCUGGCCAUGCUGGCCACGGCUGUCCCGCAGCCGAGUAGUGCGGCAGCAGCGGCGGCGGCUGGGACGCCCCUCCGUAGGGCGCCUGGAAGGCCGGGGUGGGCCACUGUAGCGGCGGCGGCCCGUAGGCGGUGGUGCUCGGUGGCGGGGGCUGGUUCCCGGCGAGGUAGAGGGUAAUACCCCUGACCGCCUGGACAAGCUCCCGCAGGGUGCCCGACAUCUCCUCGGGCGAGAGGAGCGGAGGCGGGUCCGCCGUGAUGGUGAUGGGCGCGGUGGUGAUGGUGGUGCCGGAUGCGAUCUCCGCCAUCGCGGUGGCAGUGGCCGGCGGCAGCGAGAGCGGGGUGGAGGUGGAUGGUAGCGGCGGUGAUGGAGAUUGUGACAUGAUCGGCCUGGUGUCUCUGGAUACCAAAUUGGUAGAAUCAAGUACUCUACCAGGUCUAGGGCGUAGGUGGUAAGGGAAGGAUGGAGGGGGACGUGGCGAGGAACGGGCGCGCCGGCGGCAGGGCGCCGUCGCGAGCUAGGAGAAGGGUGGCGGCGGUAGGGCUGUUGGCGGCUAGGGUUUCCGGCUCCUCAGGGAGCCGGGCAAUAGGAGAUAAUAUUCUUCUUAUUGCCUGAUCUGAAAAGAGUCUUACAAUUUAUAUUUAUAACCUAGAUAACUUGCACACGGAUUAACCUAAGAUAACUUGUGGGCUAAGAUUGCCCGAAGGGCCUUCCAUAUGACAGGCCGGACAUAACAGAUGUCAAGUCUGCCAAUAUCCUUCUGGACCCCGAGUUCAGAGCAAAGAUAGCUGACUUCGGGCUUGCUCGGAUUCUUCUCAAAACCGGAGAUCCUGAGUCAAUUUCUGGCAUAGGUGGUACCUUUGGCUACAUGGCACCAGGUAAGAAAUAGAAAUGCAGACUCAAACUAGUAUAUAUUUAGGAUGUACCAUGUGCUAAUCGCAGACUAGCUUUUUUGCAGAGUACGGAUACCGGCUUAAGGUGAAUGAGAAGGUCGAUGUCUACAGCUUCGGAGUGGUUCUGUUGGAGCUCACAACGGGGAGGGUGGCAAAUGAUGGAGGCUUGGAGUACUGCUUGGCAGAAUGGGCAUGGAGACAGUAUCAAGAGUAUGGCCUGUCAAUUGAUCUUCUUGAUGAAGACAUUCGAGAUCCAGCCAACAUUGAAGAUGCAUUCGCAGUGUUUACGCUAGGUGUGAUCUGUACAGGUGGGCAGCCUUCAGUGCGGCCAUCAAUGAAGGAUGUGCUGUACGCUCUUCUCCGGUUUGAACAUAAAUCCAGGGAAAGAAGCCCGCAGCAUGUUGUCUCUGAAGAAAUGUCACUUCUAGAAUCCUAGACUAACUGAAGACGUAGAGGAAUAACGAUAUUCCAGUUGAUGGAGUAUAAUAUAUAGAAUUUCCGGGUGCAAAUGAUGUACUAGGUGAUUUUCUGUUACCUUAUCCAUUUUGUGUCGACAUAAAGCUUGUGAAGUGUAUAAGUAUUUUUUUGACCGGAAUGGCAGGUGCUCUGNNNNNNNNNNNNNNNNNNNNNNNNNNNNNNNNNNNNNNNNNNNNNNNNNNNNNNNNNNNNNNNNNNNNNNNNNNNNNNNNNNNNNNNNNNNNNNCAACGAGUUGAGAAAUCAACCGGGAAACCUAUCUAAAGAACCAAAAACAAGGUAAGCCAGGCCGCCAAAAACAGCAUGGCAAAGACAGAGGGACUACUCCCAUGCCUCCUUCAGGAGGCCUAACUCGUCCCUAAUCAAAGACUAAUUCCGGGCUAAAUGCUGAAAAUGCACGCAGUUAUUAUUCUAUAUACAGACCAAAUAUUCGCUGAAAAUGUACAUAAUGAUAUGGAUGUUGGACUACAAAAUUACUGGUUAUUUUUGGCCUGUGUGUGUGUGUGUGUGUGUGUGUGCCGCAUUUAGCUCUUUAGAAGGCUGGUACUGAUCAAAGUGGGUGGGAAAUUAGCAUAUUAUCGUGAGAAGAAUAGAUAGGUCAUGCUCUGAUGUGCUAAAGGAACACUUGGCAUUUACAGGGUAAUGUUUAGGCCACGACGCUUGCUUACGAAGAACUACUGGUAAAAAACACAACAAAACAUCUGAACUUCUAGCUGCCUCUUGAAAAAAAUAUCUAAACUCACAAGGUCAACAUAAAUUGCAACUCUUUCUUCAAGAGAGAAACAUAACUGGAGCAAGAGCAUGUAUGGAAGAGUCUAGAAUAGAGUAGAAGUGUGUGAAUGUAAUGUAAAUCUGUUUCAAAAAAACAUAGUAAUUAUAUUCUCCAUUAGAAGAGGUGUACUAAGUUUAAUCAUGAAAUCUUCUAUAUACUACACAUGGCAGGAUCUGAUUCUGGUGUAAUUAAGGCCAACUCCAUCGCAUGACCCCAAAUGGCCCAUGCGGCUCGACAUUGAAUCGGCCAAGAGGAGGGCCCGGCGGACCGUUGCGGCGGAGAAGAAAGCCGCUGCCGACUACGCCGCCGAGGCCGCGGCCGCGCAACACAAGGCCGCUGUUGACCAGAACGAGGCCAUCCUCGCCAAGGCCACGCAGGCAGCGAUGACGCAGGCCCUCGUCAUGCUAGGGUUAUGCCGACCCGGGCCGGCCAUUCUCUUCGCCGCCGCCAUGGCCGCGACGAGCACAGGAUCGUCGUCCGUCCGUCCUCCGCAGUUCCAGUCGCCGAGCUCCUAUAACACCGGAGACGGCCGGUUUUCAUGUGCCACGGCAGAAUGGUCAGACCCGGUUCUCCACAUUGCCGGACGGCAGCGUGAUCGCGCCGGCUAGUCCCGCCAACCAGGCCGUCAUCGACAUCAACGUCACACCUGGAUUCAGUGGCGCUGGCCAGUCGUCCGACGGGAUGCAAAGGAAGCAGCCCUCGUCGAUUCCUACGGCCAACCUUCCCGGCGCCCGCAACCUGUUCGACGAAAUGCCAAUCCCGACGCCGACGGGCGACGAUCCUGACUACACCAUGUUCAUGGAGAGCGUAAUCUUCGAGGGUCGGGCCAGGCCUUCCACCCCGACGGCCAAGGCCAAGGCUUCGAUCCCGACGAGACCCAAAGUCAAGACGGCCGCGGCCAAGAUGGUACGGACCACUACGGUGUCCACAUAGAAGAAGAGGCUGACGACCAUGGCAACUCAUGGCAUGAAGAUGACGACAUGUAUUGCGAAGAUGAGGAAGAAGAGGUUGACAUUGCGGAGGAGCCAUUGUUUAUCGAUGAGCUGGCCCAAAGAGCCGAGGCACAAAGGAGGAAGCAAAGCAUUCGCACAGGAUCAUACAACAAAGAAGAGGGCACGUUGAUUUGCGAGAGUUGGAUGGAGAUAGGCCAAGAUCCCAAGACCGGUGCCGAGCAAAAAGGAUCCGUCUUUUCGACGAGAGUUCAUAAAACCUUUCACGAACGGAGGAAGUUUGCGCCCUACAAGCUUGCGAGCAACCGUGGCAUCAACUCAAUCCAAAAGAGAUGGGGUUUCAUUCAACAAGAAUGCAAUAAGUAUUGUGCCGAUCUUGAGAGCAUUGAAGCCCGUCCCGUGAGUGGCCUAGGCGCGGUGACUUGGUAUGACCUCUCCUAUUUGCAUUGCUAUGCCAUGUUCAUGUUUGUUGUAUCUUGUGUCCUCCACAUAUUUGUGGCCUUCUUUUUGAUUGUGUAGGCAUUCCAAUCUUUGGAAGCCUUCAAGGCCCGGCAUAAGAACAAGCCAUUCACUCUCACUCAUUGUUGGUCGCUCAUCAAAGAUUGUCACAAGUUCAAAGAUCAAUAUGCCGCUCUAAAGAAGAAAGGAGGGACAGUGGUCGUGGCUGCUAAUGGAGAUGUGCUCAAGAGGCCGAGGGGCAAGACCAACUCGAAGCUUGACGAGAAGCGUGAUGUGGCAUCUAUCGCCUUGCAAGAAACUUUGCACGGCAUGAUGACUCAAAAGGAAGUGAGGGAGGAGAGGAAGCGCCAAGGAAAGGAGGAGCAAAUGAAGAUAUACUUGGAGCUUCAAAUGAAGAAGCUUGACAUGGAGGAGGCCGCCAAGAGGAGGAAGCUCGACAUGAAGGAGGCUGCCCAAUUGAAGAAGCUCGCGAUCGAGGCCACCAGUGCCGACACCAAAGCAAAAGAGGUGGUGUUAGCAAUCAUGAGCGUGAACUUGACCAACAUGUCCCUGAAGAGAAGAAUUUGGUUCGCGAACCGGCAAAAGGAGAUGUUCGACCAAGACGGCCUGAACUAGGGAGGCCUCGGCCAUGGACUAUGGCCGUUCUUUUUAAAGGCUGGCAAGUGUGCCAGCCGCUGGCUAUGUUGCCAGCAAGAAAGUUGUUCAUUUUGAAGGCUGACUAGUGUGCCGGCCGCUGGCUUUGUUGCCGGCGUGAAGACUUAGGGCUUGACCAUUUUGUAGGCUGGCAUAUGUUUGCUGGCCGCUGGCUUUGUUGCCGGCAUGCACUAUGAACUACGGCCGCGGUGGACAAAAAAUUCAUUUGCAAAAGAUUUCAGGCAGCCAGACCCAGAUGCGUCCGCGCGUUGGGCGCAUCCAGAAAAAUGGCCGGACGCCGCCCCAUUGCCCUACCCAAACGGACGUUCGUUCGCGGUCGAUGGUUGGAGUUGGCCUAAUGGUAAAUCAAACGGCCCGCAACACUCAGUUUUGCCAGAUCUUGACCAUCGGAUCAAGUUCAUCCAAUGAUAUACAUUCAAAGUUAUUCAUACACUAUAUAGAUGAUACAGAUAUAGAAAACACACAGAAAAAGGAAAGCAUCUAAAAUUCUAGCUGCCUCUUGAAAAAAAUAUCUGGAUCACAACAACGAUGGUCUGAAUUGACUCUGAACUUUCUUGUGGUGAGGAAAAUUGUCUUCGAAUUUCACACAUCACAAUAAUAAAAAAGAGUAUUCAGUAUAUAGACUACUAAAAACUGAACCUCGGUAUGGCAUCCGGACAUUUAUUUUUUCUGAAAAGGAGGGUGACCCCCAGGGUAUGCAUCCAACACAAGUGUUUGAUAAUUGGACGAGAGUUACAGGGCUUACUUGCUGAUCUCGUACAGGCUAUAGAAGCGAGGGGCGAGGGGUGUGACGCAGCUGGGGAGACGGAGGAAAUCCCUUCUCGGUGCGGCGUUGGAAGCGCUAGAAACUGUCGUCGCCAGCGACGAAUGAGUAAGAGGAGAAUCAG
rnacentral:lncRNA from 1 species